rnacentral:rRNA from 1 species
AGUGAACGCUGGCGGCGUGCCUAACACAUGCAAGUCGAACGAUGAUAGAGAGCUUGCUCUCUUGAUUAGUGGCGCACGGGUGAGUAUACCAUAGAUAAUGUACCUCUUAGUUCGGGAUAGCCACUGGAAACGGUGAUUAAUACCGGAUACUCCUUCUUGUCUUAAGGCAAGUCGGGAAAGUUUUUUCGCUAAGAGAUCAGUCUAUGUCCUAUCAGCUAGUUGGUGAGGUAAUGGCUCACCAAGGCAAUGACGGGUAUCUGGUUUGAGAGGAUGAUCAGACACACUGGAACUUAGACACGGUCCAGACUCCUACGGGAGGCAGCAGUGAGGAAUAUUGCACAAUGGAGGAAACUCUGAUGCAGCAACGCCGCGUGGAGGAUGACGCAUUUCGGUGUGUAAACUCCUUUUAAGAGGGAAGAUAAUGACGGUACCUCUUGAAUAAGCACCGGCUAACUCCGUGCCAGCCGCCGCAGUAAGAC